GCCUACGGGGGGCAGCAGUGAGGAAUAUCGGUCAAUGGGCGCAGGCCUGAACCAGCCAAGUAGCGUGAAGGAUGACUGCCCUAUGGGUUGUAAACUUCUUUUAUAUGGGAAUAAAGUUUUCCACGUGUGGAAUUUUGUAUGUACCAUAUGAAUAAGGAUCGGCUAACUCCGUGCCAGCAGCCGCGGUAAUACGGAGGAUGCGAGCGUUAUCCGGAUUUAUUGGGUUUAAAGGGUGCGUAGGCGGACAGUCAAGUCAGCGGUAAAAAUGCGGUGCUCAACGCCGUACAGCCGUUGAAACUGGCAGU
rnacentral:rRNA from 1 species